rnacentral:tRNA from 1 species
GUCUUAAUAAUUUAAUUAAAAAUAUUAGUCUUGUAAACUAAAAAUAAGUAAUCUUUUAAGACU